rnacentral:piRNA from 1 species
UCAAUUGGUAAGGUGCUUGCCCAGCGUGU